UCUGAUGAUAGACGCUCUUCCCUCCUUGU
rnacentral:piRNA from 1 species